rnacentral:rRNA from 1 species
GGGGAAUAUUGGACAAUGGGGGAAACCCUGAUCCAGCAAUGCCGCGUGAGUGAAGAAGGCCUUAGGGUUGUAAAGCUCUUUCGCCCGCGAAGAUAAUGACGGUAGCGGGAGAAGAAGCCCCGGCUAACUCCGUGCCAGCAGCCGCGGUAAUACGGAGGGGGCUAGCGUUGUUCGGAAUUACUGGGCGUAAAGCGUACGUAGGCGGAUGCGCAAGUUGGGGGUGAAAUCCCGGGGCUUAACCUCGGAAUUGCCCUCAAAACUGCACGUCUUGAGACCGAGGGAGGUAAGGGGAAUUCCUAGUGUAGAGGUGAAAUUCGUAGAUAUUAGGAAGAACACCAGUGGCGAAGGCGCCUUACUGGCUCGGUACUGACGCUGAGGUACGAAAGCGUGGGGAGCAAACA